UGAGAAGUAACUGGUGCCGUGGCUGCACA
rnacentral:piRNA from 1 species